AUCCAAAGGAUGAUUAUGGAUUCAAAUUUCUCACGACGGUCAUCUGAGAUACUUUUUGUAUCAAUAUUGAUGUGAUAAUCCAUUUUUCUGAUGGAU